AGGACGAACGCUGGCGGCGUGCUUAACACAUGCAAGUCGAGCGGAAAGGCCCUUCGGGGUACUCGAGCGGCGAACGGGUGAGUAACACGUGAGCAACCUGCCCUUAGCUCCGGGAUAGCUCCGGGAAACCGGAAUUAAUACCGGAUACGACCACGGCCGACAUCUGCUGUGGUGGAAAGGAUUCCGGCUAAGGAUGGGCUCGCGGCCUAUCAGCUAGUUGGUGGAGUAACGGCCCACCAAGGCGACGACGGGUAGCCGGCCUGAGAGGGCGACCGGCCACACUGGGACUGAGACACGGCCCAGACUCCUACGGGAGGCAGCAGUGGGAAUAUUGCGCAAUGGGCGAAAGCCUGACGCAGCGACGCCGCGUGGGGGAUGAAGGCCUUCGGGUUGUAAACCCCUUUCAGCAGGGACGAAGCGAAAGUGACGGUACCUGCAGAAGAAGCGCCGGCUAACUACGCGCCAGCAGCCGC
rnacentral:rRNA from 1 species